CCUACGGGCGGCUGCAGUGGGGGAUAUUGCACAAUGGGGGGAACCCUGAUGCAGCGACGCCGCGUGAGCGAAGAAGUACCUCGGUAUGUAAAGCUCUAUCAGCAGGGAAGAAAAUGACGGUACCUGACUAAGACGCCCCGGCUAAAUACGUGCCAGCAGCCGCGGUAAUACGUAGGGGGCAAGCGUUAUCCGGAUUUACUGGGUGGAAAGGGAGCGCAGGCGGCCUGCCAAGUCUGGUGUGAAAACCCGGGGCGCAACCCCGGGCGUGCAUUUGAAACUAGCGGGCUGGAGGGUCGGAGGGGCAGGCGGAAUUCCGGGUGUAGCGGUGAAAUGCGUAGAUAUUAGGAGGAACACCGGUGGCGAAGGCGGCCUGCUGGACGAUGACUGACGCUGAGGCUCGAAAGCGUGGGGAGCAAACAGGAUUAGAUACCCCUGUAGUC
rnacentral:rRNA from 1 species